UACGUAGGGUGCAGGCGUUAAUCGGAAUUACUGGGCGUAAAGCGUGCGUAGACGGCUAUCUAAGUCGGGUGUGAAAGCCCCGGGCUCAACCUGGGAAUUGCAUUCGAGACUGAAUAGCUAGGGUACGGUAGAGGGAAGUGGAAUUUCCGGUGUAGCGGUGAAAUGCGUAGAUAUCAGGAGGAACACCGGUGGCGAAAGCGAGCCUCUGGACAGUUACUGACGCUGAUGCACGAAGGCCAGGGGAGCAAACGGGG
rnacentral:rRNA from 1 species